rnacentral:lncRNA from 1 species
AUAGUCAGACGCUUGUUUGAUAACUGUGAGAGUAGUUAACUGAAUUUGCUUGCUUGUAGUUUGUUUGAAACGAAAUCCACAUUUAAAUUUAAUGAACUUGUUAGUUCCAGUUGAAUGUGAAACUAGUUGUGUUGUGUGCAAUAACUUCUUAUUAGACUUGUUGUGUGGUUGUUUAUGGUUGAGCAUUAAGAGUUGAACUUAUUUCACAUUUCGGUUUUAGCUAUUUAACUACAUCUAUCUUUGAACUUGUUAGUCACCUCUCGGCUUACCUAAAACCAGAAACCAAAUAGGCUUUUCUUCCAUAAUCUUAUCUCACUCUUAUCGCUAUGGAUUCCUAUCCGUAUAGCCAAUCGUCUAGUUAUCUUAAUCUUCUUCACAGUCAACAACCAAGUGUUGUCCAUGAAAACUUUUCUUAUGAAAGUUAUAAUUCUAGUAGUGUUAACCUUGGAUCAUCAGACUUCCCUCCAUUCAGUUCACAACAAACGGAGGCUCCAACUCAACCUGAAGUC